AAACAUAAAUUAUUUAUCAUAAAUCACAAUUCGCAAAUAUAAUUUCAUAAACAUAAAUUUCCAAAACAAUAAUUAUAACUCAUAAAACAUAGAUUACUUAUCAUAAUUCAUAAAUCACAAUUCGCAAUUUUUUAAUUCCCAAAUGAAUAAAUCAUAACAUAUUUAACAUUAACUUAAGUCACUGACCAUAGCCAUGUUAACACAACUAAAUGAAAUCCCAUACCUUUCAAUUUUUAUUUUUUUAUUUUUUUACAAGAUUUCACUUUCCAUAACUUUAGUAGUUAGCACCCUGAGCAUAUUUGUAUUCCAUAGGACCACAGCAGCAGAUUCUCUAAAAUAAAAAAAUUAUUUUAUAUCAGACAUUGUGAAAAUUAAAUUUUCCUUUAGGCUUUAGCAGUUAGCACGUACAAUAAAAUAAUGCCCAAUUACCAAACAGAUAAUAAAAGUAAAUUUAGCAGUUAGCACACACAAAUUACAAUACAAGAAAACUAAAUUUGCCAAUUUAGCACUUAGCACAUACAAACAAGUGCGGGACGAACUGACAAAGGAAGAAGUGUCUCGUCACUCCUGUGCAAGGCAGGGGCGAACCAGUGGUCCAACAUCGCCGUGUCUCGUGUGUAGGGCAAGGGCGAACCGACGAAGGAAGAAGCGAAGAAAUUGGAAAAGGGUUUUUGCAAUUUGGCUUCCCUCUUCCAACCUUCCACGAUUUGGGAAAUGGGAGUUGAUUUGGGCAUUUCAGAAUUCUGAUUCAAUUUUAUUGGCUAAUUAGACUUUGAUAAAUUGAAUAAUUUUCAUUUAACAAUUGGGCUAACAAUAAGAGGCCCAAAAUUUGAAGCCCUACCCAAACCCAAAAAAAAAAAAAGAGAAGAAAAUGGCCCUCUUCUCCCUUCGUCUUCCUUCCUUCUCCAGAGACAGAGAGACUCCGGCGCUUCUGCAACUGGUGCUACCCAAUAGUUCUAAAGAUUCCGGUAGAGCCAGCACACUCGAUCAUGCCCCCUUGCCGAGUGUUGGCUCCGCGCCUGCAAGCAGUCAUAUGUGGAAGAUUACCAAUCAAUUAUGUAAUUAAUUUUCAUAUUUGUUAUCCUGUA
rnacentral:lncRNA from 1 species